GGAGUACGACCGCAAGGUUGAAACUCAAAGGAAUUGACGGGGGCCCGCACAAGCNGUGGAGCAUGUGGUUUANUUCGAAGCAACGCGAAGAACCUUACCAGGUCUUGACAUCCUUUGACCACUCUAGAGAUAGAGCUUCCCCUUCGGGGGCAAAGUGACAGGUGGUGCAUGGUUGUCGUCAGCUCGUGUCGUGAGAUGUUGGGUUAAGUCCCGCAACGAGCGCAACCCUUAUUGUUAGUUGCCAUCAUUUAGUUGGGCACUCUAGCGAGACUGCCGGUGACAAACCGGAGGAAGGUGGGGAUGACGUCAAAUCAUCAUGCCCCUUAUGACCUGGGCUACACACGUGCUACAAUGGGAAGUACAACGAGUUGCGAAGUCGCGAGGCUAAGCUAAUCUCUUAAAGCUUCUCUCAGUUCGGAUUGUAGGCUGCAACUCGCCUACAUGAAGCCGGAAUCGCUAGUAAUCGCGGAUCAGCACGCCGCGGUGAAUACGUUCCCGGGCCUUGUACACACCGCCCGUCACACCACGAGAGUUUGUAACACCCGNNGUCGGUGAGGUAACCUUUUGGAGCCAGCCGCCUAAGGUGGGAUAGAUGAUUGGGGUGAAGUCGUAACAAGGUAACC
rnacentral:rRNA from 1 species